CUACUUCAAAUGAGGAGGAAACAGAGGGACAUUCUAGAUUUCUGGCUCAAAAUUCUGUUAAUUCUUCAGCACUCGGUGCAUGCAGUCAGGCAAUCCUAAAUGCAGUAACUUGUAAUGGAAGGAAAGCCGAAGUCAGAGGAACAAGGAUCGUUCGCUAACUUGAAAAGUUUUGACAAUUUGUCUGAGUCUGCCGUUGCAUUGGAACAUUGUACCAGAGAAAUCCAGC
rnacentral:misc_RNA from 1 species